AGAGUUUGAUCAUGGCUCAGGACGAACGCUGGCGGCGUGCUUAACACAUGCAAGUCGAGCGGGGUCCAACUUGUCGCAAGACAAGGGAAGACCUAGCGGCGAACGGGUGAGUAACACGUGAGCAACCUGCCCCGAAGACUGGGAUAACACCGGGAAACCGGUGCUAAUACCGGAUACCCUCGGUGGGUCACAUGGCCUGACGAGGAAAUGGAUUCCGCUUCGGGAGGGGCUCGCGGCCUAUCAGCUUGUUGGUGGGGUAACGGCCCACCAAGGCUACGACGGGUAGCUGGUCUGAGAGGACGGCCAGCCACACUGGGACUGAGACACGGCCCAGACUCCUACGGGAGGCAGCAGUGGGGAAUCUUGCGCAAUGGGCGAAAGCCUGACGCAGCAACGCCGCGUGCGGGACGAAGGCCUUCGGGUUGUAAACCGCUUUCAGCAGGGACGAACAUGACGGUACCUGCAGAAGAAGCCCCGGCCAACUACGUGCCAGCAGCCGCGGUAAUACGUAGGGGGCGAGCGUUGUCCGGAUUUAUUGGGCGUAAAGAGCUCGUAGGCGGUUUGGCAAGUCGGGUGUGAAAACUCCGGGCUCAACUCGGAGACGCCACUCGAUACUGCCAUGACUCGAGUCCGGUAGGGGAGUGCGGAAUUCCUGGUGUAGCGGUGAAAUGCGCAGAUAUCAGGAGGAACACCGGUGGCG
rnacentral:rRNA from 1 species